CCUUGUGUUACUCACAGGUCCUUGCAGGUGGCCUCAGAGAAUUUUCCUGGUUCCCCAAUGACCAGUGAGGGGUGCUCUGAAGUGUGAGUGCCCAGGAAGGCCUGUAACACCAGAUCCAGCUGCAUUUCUGGUCUGAGGGGAUGGAAGACACAGCCCACAUCCAGGCAGGACAGGAGCAGGAGAUGCUGGAGGCUCCCAAAGCCGUGAGAAGCUGCAAAGCAGCUGAAUCUGCAGAGAACAAAAGGGGCAGCCCUGUGCCUCUUCAUGCCCUGAAGUGCUCAGUGGCACCUCUGGGUCUCUUCCCAUCAGUGAAGGGCAGGAACAAAGCCUGGCAAUGAAAGGCAAUUUCUCCUAACCCAGUGGGCGAGCACAGUGUGGUA